CCCCUAGAUGUUCUGGGCCGCACGCGCGCUACACUGAACAGUUCAAAAAGUCUUAACCUUGGCCGAUAGGUCUGGGUAAUCUUUGAACGCUGUUCGUGAUUGGGAUAGACCUUUGCAAUUAUGGGUCUUCAACGAGGAAUUCCUAGUAAACGCAAGUCAUCAGCUUGCAUUGAUUACGUCCCUGCCCUUUGUACACACCGCCCGUCGCACCUACCGAUUGAAUGGUCCGGUGAAAUCUCGGGACGGCGGCUUGGUCGCUUGCGUCCGACUGCUGAAACUUGAUUAAACCAUAUCAUUUAGAGGAAGGUGAAGUCGUAACA
rnacentral:rRNA from 1 species